CCUACGGGAGGCAGCAGUGGGGAAUAUUGCACAAUGGGGGAAACCCUGAUGCAGCGACGCCGCGUGAGUGAAGAAGUAUUUCGGUAUGUAAAGCUCUAUCAGCAGGGAAGAAAAUGACGGUACCUGAUUAAGAAGCCCCGGCUAACUACGUGCCAGCAGCCGCGGUCAUACGUAGGGGGCCAGCGUUAUCCGGAUUUACUGGGUGUAAAGGGAGCGUAGACGGCAGCACAAGUCUGGAGUGAAAUGCCGGGGCUUAACCCCGGAACGGCUUUGGAAACUGUGCAGCUAGAGUGCAGGAGAGGUAAGUGGAAUUCCUAGUGUAGCGGUGAAAUGCGUAGAUAUUAGGAGGAACACCAGUGGCGAAGGCGGCUUACUGGACUGUAACUGACGUUGAGGCUCGAAAGCGUGGGGAGCAAACAGGAUUAGAUACCCCGGUAGUC
rnacentral:rRNA from 1 species